AGAAGUCAUAUAAGAUGCCAAUCUGUGACGAACGUGGCUUCUCUGUGAUGAAAAGGACAUCAUUAGUUGAAUGCGACGACUUUCAAUACAACGCAGAGAACCACCUCAUUAAAAUUCAAACAUACGGCGAGCUGAUGGAACGCAAGAAGAGACCGUCUUGGUCAUUGGAGAGAAAUCGUGUGAGGCUUCAACUAGUUACGACAUUCACCGUAACGGUAAAUUGGAUUUUUAAUUGUUUGCCUUUGCUUAUUCCUAUUAAAAAAA